rnacentral:lncRNA from 13 species
UGCUGGCCAAGAUGAUCUCAAUCUCCUGACCUCAUGAUCCACCCGCCUCGGCCUCCCAAAGUGCUGGGAUUACAGGCAUGAGCCACCGCGCCCGGCCUGGAAGCAACUUUUCUGACAUGAAGUUCAGACUUUUGAAGAGAAACACACUAGAAGGAGGCUGCUACUCAGCCAUGCACCUCUGCAAAUCUUGGAAAGAGUCAAGGAUUCCUGAGGCAAGGAAGUUGGAUAAUGAUGAGCAGCAGGCAAGACACAGCUGGCCACUGGAGAGACAGCCCAGUGUAGGCAGGAGGUCAGAAUGUGCCAACACCAACAUUUUUGUGGCUGAAGCCCUGCUGCCCCCAGCUGCACUGCCUGAACAAAUUGCAUCUGAGCAAGCGAGAGCGGUGGCCCAGGAGACUGCUGACAUGACUUCGGAAAGGCACAGCCCAAUCCUAUUGCCUAAUUUUCUUUGUUCUUAGGCCAAGACUUUGGCCUGUAACAGUGAUUGGAUUUCUGACCUUUCGGGUGACCACUUUAGUUUCUCCUUUCUUCACCUACCAAUUUCUAGAGAGAAACAGCUUUAACAAAUAAUCAGUAAAUCAAUCCACGCAUUCCAAGCAUUUGAGAAGUUCAGGCUACUACUGCCUCUUCCAUACCAUCCUUGAUAAAAAUGAAAAAUUCAGUCCACCCACGGUCCAUC